AGUGAGCGCUGGCGGUAGGCCUAACACAUGCAAGUCGAACGGCAGCACAGUAAGAGCUUGCUCUUACGGGUGGCGAGUGGCGGACGGGUGCGGAAUACAUCGGAAUCUACUUUUUCGUGGGGGCUAACGUAGGGAAACUUACGCCAAUACCGCAUACGACGUACGGGUGAAAGCAGGGGAUCUUCGGACCUCGCGUGAUUCAAUGAGCGGAUGUCGGAUUAGUAAGUUGGCGGGGUAAAGGCCCACCAAUGCGACGAUCCGUAGCUGGUCUGAGAGGAUGAUCAGCCACACUGGAACUGAGACACGGUCCAGACUCCUACGGGAGGCAGCAGUGGGGAAUAUUGGACAAUGGGCGCAAGCCUGAUCCAGCCAUACCGCGUGGGUGAAGAAGGCCUUCGGGUUGUAAAGCCCUUUUGUUGGGAAAGAAAAGCAGCAGGUUAAUACCCCGCUGUUCUGACGGUACCAAAAGAAUAAGCACCGGCUAACUUCGUG
rnacentral:rRNA from 1 species